UUUUUGUUUUUUUUUUUUUUUUGGAGAAUUUGCUAACAGAUGUAAUGAUAACAAGUAACAUGUAUUGAGGUUAAUUGUGAAGCAGAGGUCUGGGAAGAGCUUUGCAUAAUUCUAGACAACAUUCCACAAGAUAAAAGGCACUCUUACAUAAUGGGUAGGAACAGGAGCUCAGCAGACUGCCUGGGUGUGAAUCCCAGCAGUGAUGUAGAAGCUGUGUUCUCAGAUAGGGCACCUAACCCCUCUGUUCCCCAGGCUUCCUCCUCUCAAAUACAGGACAAUAACCUUCCUUGCCACUCAGGUUACUGUGGUUAACAUGAAGAUGAAAUAAGGCGUGUUUCUAAUCCAAGAGUGAUUUGACCUCCUCUCCCUCCCCGGGGACAUUUGGCGACAUCUGAAGACGUCUCUGGUUGUCACAACUGGCAGGGGAAAAUAUUACCAACAACUAGUGGGUAGCAGUUGACGAUCUCACUGAACACACUAUAAUGUGGACACUCUCCAAUAGAAUUUUUCAGCCCAAUGUCCGAAGCAUAACCCUGUAAAACCAUGAUGUUCACUAAGCCCUCAGCAAGUGCCUGGCACACAGUAAAAGCUCAAUAAACACUACUUCCUUUCUGCUCUCUAAAUCAUAAGUGACGUGGCCUGACCCCAAGGCAUGGUUCUGUCUGUACCUCUCACAUCAGAAAGCUGAGUCUGGCCCACGUGGGACACAGGACGUUCACUUGGGGCCAGGUCCUGUGCUGACAGCUUCAUAUGUUCUCUCCCAUGUCCCCUCAACAACUGCUGAGGGUGUCCUCUAUUAUUGGCGCUAUUUUAGAGGAGGAAACAGGUUUCAGGGAGGCUCACAAGUCACAGAGCUAGAGAGUAACUGGACUUAAACUAGAUCUAACUGCUCUUCAGGCACACAGUGGCAGAGCGUACAGGUUACCUUCCCCUCCUCCCCCAGAAAAAGUAGGAGGUGUUCUUGUUUAUGUAUGAAAUCUCUCUAGAUGGCAACACAAUACUCUGGCAACAACGAAUACCUCUGGAGCAAACUGGGAACCUGGGAACAGGGGAGGGAGGGUGACUUUUCAUUGUUGUAUUUGGAACCUGUGAAUGUAUUGUCUGAAAUAUAAAUAAAACUGAAAUUAAAGAAAGACUGUCCAUUAACUACCAGCUUUUUUCCCUGAGCUGCCUGGGUUUGAGCACCCAGAGGUGUUCGUUAAAAACAUAUUCUUCUUGGAGUGCCUGGGUGGCUCAGUUAAGCAUUCCGACUCUUGAUUUUGGCUCGUCAUGGUCUCAGGAUCGUGAGAUCAAGCCCCACUUCAGGCUCUGUGCUGGGCGUGGAGUCUACUUAAGAUUCUCUCUCUGCCUCUCCCUCUGCCCCUUCACCCCAUCCCAAAUAAAGAUUCUAGAUCUACCUGGACCAACUUUCCAGGGGAAAGAUUUAGAUAUCUAAAUUUUGCAAGCUAAUCUGAUGAUUGUUGACUUCAGGCAAAUUUAGGAAGGAACACUUAAGACUAGAGUCGCAGGCCAGAAAUCAUUGCAGCCAGCUCCCAGGUCUCUGGAGAAGCAGGGAGGGGUGGGGGUGGGGAACACAUGGAAGAUGGCUAGGUCUUCUCUGGGGAGAGUGGAGAGUUCCACACAGGGGCUCCUGCUCCCCACUACUCAGUCCCAGUCAGGGAGGCUGUCCUGGGACUGGGGGGUGGGGGGGUGGGUGGGUCCUGCUGCAUAUGAUGCAUGACAGAAGCAAAAAGCUACAAUAGGAAAAAAGAGGAUCCUCUGCCCCACUUAGCCCACUAAGCUAUUAGCACAUUUGAGUUUGCACAAAACAAGAACUUAAGGCCACACUCCCCCCCUGCCCAACCAACCUCCACUUGGAUCAAAGGACUUUGUUUUUAUAAAACCAUGUUCUGUAUUGGGUUUCUGGGACCAUGGGGGGCCAGGCAAAUAACAUAAACAAAGCUGGCCUGGUGUGAGACAAGGGAAUGGUGGGGACUGUGGCAAUCAUAUCUGGGAAAGAGGGCGCUGCAACCCUGUUCCUUCUCACUGUUACUCUGUGAGGUGGGACCAGGGAUGCGUCUGCCUUUGGCUCAGGUCUGUGAUCCUGGGAUGUCUCUGCCUCUCUCUCUUUCUCUUUCUGUCUCUCAUGAAUAAAUACAUAAAAUCUCAAAAAAAAAAAAAGGGGGGGGGGGUGGUGGUGGGGGUGGGACCAGUGCUGCUGCUGCUGGAUCUCCCAAUUUCUUAAGCAAAGACAGAAUCAGUAUGUAAGAUUUUUGUGACAGCCUAGGGUCUGAGCCAGACUUUCUAGGCUUGAAGUCUAGCCAAUUACUUAACCUCUUUGGGUGUCAAUUUUUGCCAUCUGCAAAAGAGACAAAUAUUCCUGCCAAGAUACACAUCUUGAUUAUAAUAAUAACGGGAAAUUAUCGGGGAAAUGAGACUGAGGUGGCAUUCUACAAAAACCAUAGGCCUGGACUCCAGAAAUGUCCAUGUUACAAAGGACAAAAAAGGCUGCUCCAUAUUCAAAGCAACUAAAGAGACGUGACAACUGAAUGCAAUACAUGACCCUGAAGGGAAAAAUCAUGGCCAGAAAGGACAUGCUCAGGACUUGUGGAGAACUGAACACAAAUGUCCUAUUAAAUAGUACUGUAUCAAUGUCAAAUUCCCUGAAUCCAAUCACUUGAAUUGAGGUUAGAUAGGAGAAUGUCCUUGGCUUUAGGAGGAAGUACUUAGGCAUGAAGGAUGGUAUUGGCAACCAAUGCAUGGGACCUCACAGAGAAAAAUAUCGCUUUUUCUCCUCAUUCACAGCUUCAGUUAUCUGUGAAUCUCCUGCUUGCUGAGGUCAAACAAGCACCAUUCUGUCUCAGUCUUCUUAAACAAGUGUCCUUUUCACAGUCGAUUUAGGCUACAUUUUUCACAUUUGGUGCUUUCUGUUGGUUUUGCUAUUUUUUAUUUUUUAAUUUUAAUUUUUUUUUUUUUUUUUACGGGAGGCUCCAUGCCCAAACAUGGGGCUUGAACUCAUCACUCUUGAGAUCAAGAAGAUUACUUUAAAAAAAAAGGCAGCCAUGAUAUGUCUUACAAAGAAAUACCUUUGGGAAAAGCUUCAUUUAGGUACAAGUUAUCAUGCUGUGAGCCAUGAGUGAGUUCAUUGUUCACAAAUCAACAAUUAAAUUAAAUAAGGUGUCUUUAAACAGAAACACACAUAGGGGUGCCUGGCUGGCUCAGUUGGUGAAACACACCACUUGAUCUUGGUGAUUUUUUGUCUGAGUGCUGUGUGUAGAGAUUACUUAAAAAUAAAAAAAACAAAAACAAACACAUAACACAAGGUCACCUACUGAACAGCUAACAAAAUAUGGUGACCUGAGGCUCGUCGGAACUUAACCACACAGGAACAAUGGUUCAACAUCCACUAAUUCAUAGGACACAACUGCUGUCGAGUAACAAGAACGGACUAUAUUUCAGUCACUAUUCAUGCAACUUCUCUGCAGGUUUGAAAUUUUUCAAAAAUGUCAAGAAUUUUUUUUUGUGCUUAGAGGCUCACCUGAUUGGGGCACCAGGAGAAAUUAAUACCAGGUGGUCCAGACCCAACAAAUACAAACACAAGAAGUAUCCAUUAUGAGUAUAUUUAUGUGUGUACACACACACACACACACACACACACACACACACACACACACGAGACACUGAACGGGGAAGGUGGCCAAGACAGAAAAGACAAGAAGCAUCCAAGUGGCACUGGCACUCAGGAUGGAGAGAGACAAAGGGAGCGCUUGGCCCCCCUCUGGCUCCCACAGUGGCCUCCUAAGGGAGGUGAACCCGAAGCUGGAAGAACAGGAAGUGCUUACUCUCUCAGCGGAAAGUUUCAAAGUGCAGUCCUUUCUCUUUAAAAAAAAAAAAAAAAAAAAA
rnacentral:lncRNA from 1 species